rnacentral:rRNA from 1 species
AACGAACGCUGGCGGCGUGCCUAACACAUGCAAGUCGAGGGAGAAAGGGAGCUUCGGCUCCCGAGUAAACCGGCGCACGGGUGAGUAAUACGUAGGUAACGUACCUUCGGGUCUGGGAUAACCAGUCGAAAGACUGGCUAAUACCGGAUACGACCGAGGGGCUCGGCUCUCACGGUGAAAGAUGGCCUCUGCCUGCACGCUAUCACUCGAGGAGCGGCCUGCGCACCANAGUCUAGUUGGUGAGGUAACGGCUCACCAAGGCUGAGAUGGUUAGCUGGUCUGAGAGGAUGGCCAGCCACACUGGGAC